AACGUACGCUGGCGGCACGCCUAACACAUGCAAGUCGAACGAAGUAGCAAUACUUAGUGGCAGACGGGUGAGUAACAUGUAGGUAUCUGCCCUUUGGCCUGGAAUAACACGAGGAAACUUGUGCUAAUACCGGAUAAGUCUUUACGGAGAAAGCUUUAUGCACCAUUGGAUGAGCCUGCACUUGAUUAGUUUGUUGGUGGGGUAAUGGCCUACCAAGACUGUGAUCAAUAGCUGAUUUGAGAGGAUGGUCAGCCACAUUGGGACUGAGACACGGCCCAAACUCCUACGGGAGGCAGCAGUGGGGAAUCUUGCACAAUGGAGGAAACUCUGAUGCAGCGAUGCCGCGUGAGUGAAGAAGGCCCUUGGGUUGUAAAGCUCUUUCGUCGGGGAAGAAAAUGACUGUACCCGAAUAAGAAGGUCCGGCUAACUUCGUGCCAGCAGCCGCGGUAAUACGAAGGGACCUAGCGUAGUUCGGAAUUACUGGGCUUAAAGAGUUCGUAGGUGGUUGAAAAAGUUAGUGGUGAAAUCCCAGAGCUUAACUCUGGAACUGCCAUUAAAACUUUUCAGCUAGAGUAUGAUAGAGGAAAGCAGAAUUUCUAGUGUAGAGGUGAAAUUCGUAGAUAUUAGAAAGAAUACCAAUUGCGAAGGCAGCUUUCUGGAUCAUUACUGACACUGAGGAACGAAAGCAUGGGUAGCGAAGAGGAUUAGAUACCCUCGUAGUCCAUGCCGUAAACGAUGUGUGUUAGACGUUGGAAAUUUAUUUUCAGUGUCGCAGGGAAACCGAUAAACACACCGCCUGGGGAGUACGACCGCAAGGUUAAAACUCAAAUGAAUUGACGGGGACCCGCACAAGUAGUGGAGCAUGUGGUUUAAUUCGAAGAUACGCGCAGAACCUUACCAACACUUGACAUGUUCGUCGCGACUCUAAGAGAUUAGAGUUUUCGGUUCGGCCGGACGAAACACAGGUGCUGCAUGGCUGUCGUCAGCUCGUGUCGUGAGAUGUUGGGUUAAGUCCCGCAACGAGCGCAACCCUCACUUUUAGUUGCCAUCAUUAAGUUGGGCACUCUGAAAGAACUGCCAGUGAUAAGCUGGAGGAAGGUGGGGAUGACGUCAAGUCCUCAUGGCCCUUACGUGUUGGGCUACACACGUGCUACAAUGGUAUCUACAACAGGAAGCAAGACUGCGAAGUUAAGCAAAUCCCUAAAAGAUACCUCAGUUCGGAUUGCACUCUGCAACUCGAGUGCAUGAAGCUGGAAUUACUAGUAAUCGUGGAAUCAGCGUGCCACGGUGAAUGCGUUUCCCGGGUCU
rnacentral:rRNA from 1 species